UGACCUAUGACUACACUGAGACACAGGUUAUGCUUCCAUCACAGCAAAUUUAUUGCAGUGGUAACAAUGAGACCUGUAAUAUUU